ensembl:lncRNA
UAUAUAUAUAUAUGUAUACAUAUAUAUAUAUAUCACUUUUUCAGGUUUUAAUCCCACCACUCCAUAUCAUAUCCUCUGUCCUCUCCUCCAUGCAACUGUCCCGCCCUCAGCUGUCUGAUGUUUUUAGCAUGUUGGUCGUAGCCUACAUAUGGGAUCUCUUGUUUGGGCGGCUGCUCUGGCAACAGAUGUUUUUGAUGGCACUUUUCUUUUCGGGGGGGGGGUUUGAAAGUGACUCCAUAAAAGAGAUGCCAGCUGCAUGACAAACCAGUGGCCGCCUAGUUCUCAGGAAUUCUACAUCGGAGCGAUUUUCUCUCUGAGCUCCGUAACAAAGCCUCUGGAGAAUAAGAAGACUUUUCACUUAAUCAGACCGUUCCCUUUGGAGAAGUUCAUUAAUUACCGGAGGAAGUUGCUGCACUGGAACAUGCGCUCCAGAUGGCCACGGACUUCACUUUGUUUGUUGUCGUUAGUUUGGUGCAGAUCCUGUACAAUGUUUCAUCACACGACACACCUACAGUAUAUAAACGCUUUGUUUGCACUGUAACGGCCCAGCUCUAAACCCGGCAUCCUGGUAAAUCUUUAAAAGCCCUGGCAGCUCGUACCGCUGAGCACAAUGUGAUAUCCAGUAGUCAACUUUUCGUUUGCUCCUCGGCUGCCUGCUCCCUUCGGCUCCCACCCGCACAGCAGCAGCGUCCCCCAUCUGGCAGCCGGCACGCUCUCCUCUGCCAAACUUCCACUGAUUAUUUUUCACCUGCUAAUUUUAGCCCCGGCUUAUUAUCUACCCUAUGGGUGGAGGGUGUCUUCGGUGUUGCUGGAUCUAUUGGUGUCUGCCAAAAUGCAGCUUGUAGGUUUGAUGUUGGUGGUCGAGCUGGUGACCCUUGACCCCCGAGAUUGGGAACAACUGCUCUGAGGUCACCUUGGUUUCCCUUUUUCACAGACUUUUUUAACCUGUCCAAAUGUUCCAUUGCUUCGUGUUGCUGCGGACUCCCCGUAUUCAUCAGAUCACCGCUCCUCUCUCUCCGCUGCCCUCUGCACCGCUCCUCCCCCCCGCCCUCCCUUAACUUUCCGUCUCUGCGGCGAGAGGAGGUCUGCGAUCACUCAAGGCUGUCACAUGCGGAAAAAGUUGCCUAGCAACAACAUGGAAGGGGAUGCGAAGCCGUUGUUUACUCUCCGCCCCCUCACCUCAUGUGCCCGCUGCCCCCUUCCCGCUGCCUCUCUUCCCCUACUGUGGAUGGAGUGGCAUGUGGGGGAGGGAGGCGGGCAGUGCAGGGGCAGCUCAGUCUCCUGCUCUCUGAUGAAUUCAGACAACAGACAGUGAACAAAGUGAGAGGAGGAGGAGGAGGUGGAGGAGGAGAGGUGACAUUCAGCGAUGCCGCGUCUGGCUGUUGCCUGCCAGCUGCUUUGCCUCGCUUCCUCUCUGCGGGAGGAACCGGCCAUUUCCCUAAACGGCUCCUCUUCCUCUCGGCAUAACUAAGGAGAACCCCGCCGUUCUCAGCAGGACUGAAAAACACCGAACGGCAAAUGUGUCACAUGCCCGGUGUCACACCCUGGUGAUUUAAGCCGUUACAGGUACAUUUUGUUCUUGGGGGAUGAUUAAAUGCCCCCCCAGAAGCUUGAGUGCCUGAUCAUAUAUUGCUUUUUUGGCCUGUUCUGUACUGUAAUUAGGACGCGCGGCACAGUGGUUCCCACACAGAGCUUGACUCAG